UUUACGGUGUUAGCAAGAUUAUGGCAGGAUUUGUUGUUUCAGUAAAGUGGAUCAUUCCCUUUCCUUUGAGGGUGAUUUGCAUUACAAAUAUCUCUCCUCAUAUUACAAAAGCCAAAUUGGAAUCCCAAGCCAAGCAACUGACUUUCAACCUCUCUGAAAGUACAAGAACCCUUUCCUGAGCAUCAGCUGGAAAAAGGAGACAUGGAGUUACAUUGCUGAUGUUGAGCUGUGCUGCACCACGUACACUUGACACUUGCAAACUUCCCCAAAUCCCUCUGCAAACACAAAAAGUCUGACAAGCCCCAGUGAGAAGCAUGAAGUUUCCUGCAUGAUGUUCAGAUUCUGGUUUUAUUGCUGACCAAGAAAAGAGGAAGAAGUGAAGCACAAAGACAGGGCAUUGGAAUUCAGGGAAUGAAGAGAAGAGAUAAAACUGAAGUGAAGAAAUCACAAGCCUCACUUUCAGCGUCUCAAGUUCAAAGACACUUUCCACUCUAUCACAGCACUUCACAGAUUUAACUUUUUCCAUUAACCCCUACACUGGCUUGCAUAACAAAAGUAAUAGCAGUUCAAAAGCCUUAUACUGUGGUCCUGACUUGAACUGCAGUCAGCUUGUGGCAAGCUGUUUACCUGUGAUUAAAAUGGUAAAGUUCUGACCCUUGACCUUACUGUCCUUCAGGUUUGAAAUGUCCUGUGUCACUGGCAUGCUCUAAGGAUAAGCAUAUGAAAGGUCAUUCGAUACUCAGAUUCUACCAUAAUAAAGAUAAAAACUAGA